AAGUAGCAAAUAUAAAAGAGCCUGAGAAGGUCUGAGUUGCCGUCAAAUCGAAAUGUUAAUGCAUGAAAGUGCAGAGGUGGCUACUAGAAAAAAAGCCCUUUAUUAGGGAGUGGAUAAAAGAGAGUAUUUUGAAUAAUAUUUAUUCAAUAAUAUUUGAUAUCCCAUUAAUUUACUUAAUAAAGGUGUGUGGAAUAGUCACUUGGCAGUGCAUAUUAAGUGCAAUACGCGAAUUUCUAAAUUUAAAUUUAGAUAAAUUCAAUUCAGACUACUCUUGACACAU
rnacentral:RNase_P_RNA from 2 species